ensembl:snoRNA
ACCUAACACUUAUAGAUUUCUAAAAUCAAUUAUUUAUACCAGGAUAGGAAAGAAAAGAAAUCCCUGUGCUUUCUCUGUCUUUGUGGUGGCCCCGAUUAAAGAGGGGAAUAUAUUU